GAAAGCUGCAUGCGGGAAAACCGCACGUGCAGUUUGGGCGGCGGACGGAGGCCAGCGCUCCCGAGGGCGCGCCUCCUCCGACCCGAC
rnacentral:ncRNA from 1 species